rnacentral:rRNA from 1 species
UACGGGGGGAGGAAGCGUUGUUCGGAUUUACUGGGCGUAAAGGGCGCGUAGGCGGCCACCGCAAGUCGACUGUGAAAUCUCCGGGCUUAACCCGGAAAGGUCAGCCGAUACUGCGGGGCUAGAGUGCAGAAGGGGCAACUGGAAUUCUCGGUGUAGCGGUGAAAUGCGUAGAUAUCGAGAGGAACACCUGCGGCGAAGGCGGGUUGCUGGGCUGACACUGACGCUGAGGCGCGAAAGCAUGGGGAGCGAACAGG